rnacentral:tRNA from 1 species
GCUCCCGUAGCUCAGUGGAUAGAGCAGCGGCUUCCUAAGCCGUUGGUCGUGCGUUCGACUCGCACCGGGAGUG